CGCACACAUUUGUUUGAAUAGGACGCACCUGUAGGGCGGGGGAAGCUGAUGGAUAUCUCUUGAAUACAACAGGCAAACAGGUUCUCAGUGCGGCCUCACAGGGUUAGCGGUAACAUUUUGGAUGUGCCACAGUGCCAGAGGUAAAAGAAGUACCCGAAUAAUUCCUGUAGGGUUUGGGUAGGAUUGGUGCAAUGUUGCUGAAAGUAAAACUAACAUUGAGGUCGGAAUGUUUGGUUUUUCAUUGGCACCAGGCCCUUGAAAGUCUGCUGAAUUCGGCGUCAGGACAUUCUGAUAUGGCCCGGGCAAAGUUGGAGGGUUGCUGAGAUUCGGAACUGUUUAUAAUUGUACAGCCACGGAAAAUCAAUGAAGCCUUCAAGACCACAGAGAACAGACUCAGUGUCACAUUCAAUCAAUA